CAUGCAAGUCGAGGGGAAACGACAUCGAAAGCUUGCUUUUGAUGGGCGUCGACCGGCGCACGGGUGAGUAACGCGUAUCCAACCUGCCCAUCACUUGGGGAUAACCUUGCGAAAGUAAGACUAAUACCCAAUGAUAUCUCUAGAAGGCAUCUGAAAGAGAUUAAAGAUUUAUCGGUGAUGGAUGGGGAUGCGUCUGAUUAGCUUGUUGGCGGGGUAACGGCCCACCAAAGCAACGAUCAGUAGGGGUUCUGAGAGGGAGGUCCCCCACAUUGGAACUGAGACACGGUCCAAACUCCUACGGGAGGCAGCAGUGAGGAAUAUUGGUCAAUGGACGAGAGUCUGAACCAGCCAAGUAGCGUGCAGGAUGACGGCCCUAUGGGUUGUAAACUGCUUUUAUAAGGGAAUAAAGUGAGUCUCGUGAGACUUUUUGCAUGUACCUUAUGAAUAAGGACCGGCUAAUUCCGUGCCAGCAGCCGCGGUAAUACGGAAGGUCCGGGCGUUAUCCGGAUUUAUUGGGUUUAAAGGGAGCGUAGGCCGGAGAUUAAGCGUGUUGUGAAAUGUAGAUGCUCAACAUCUGCACUGCAGCGCGAACUGGUUUCCUUGAGUACGCACAAAGUGGGCGGAAUUCGUGGUGUAGCGGUGAAAUGCUUAGAUAUCACGAAGAACUCCGAUUGCGAAGGCAGCUCACUGGAGCGCAACUGACGCUGAAGCUCGAAAGUGCGGGUAUCGAACAGGAUUAGAUACCCUGGUAGUCCGCACGGUAAACGAUGGAUGCCCGCUGUUGGUCUGAAUAGGUCAGCGGCCAAGCGAAAGCAUUAAGCAUCCCACCUGGGGAGUACGCCGGCAACGGUGAAACUCAAAGGAAUUGACGGGGGCCCGCACAAGCGGAGGAACAUGUGGUUUAAUUCGAUGAU
rnacentral:rRNA from 1 species